ACACUAUUCACUGUGCACUUCCCCUGAAAAUCACCCCGAAGGGGCACAAACCCACGCUUGCACACAGGUAAAACGCAAGAGAAGGCCCGGCCCCACACGCACGCAGGGACACCCGGGGAAAGGGACCGCGUGGGGGGCCUCAGAAGUCACCCACCCCCUCAUGUGGCAGGGUCAGCACCGUUGGAAGCGCCGGGGCCGGACCCCUCUCCCCCAUUUCUGUCCUCUGCCCCCAGCCCCGGCCCUGAGCUUCAGGGCUGGCUCUGACUGGCGUCCGGCCCGCUGCCUCUGCUCCUCGGCCUCUUCCCCUCAGCCCUACAAUCCAGCCCCACAGCCCGGGGGUUUGCCCCGGCCCCUGGCUUCGGCCCCCUCCCUCUGGAUCUUCCUGCGGCUGACUCGGGGUCUCCCAAGUCUCCUGCUCCUGCGCGGGCUCCUGGGCCUUGGCCCGUGUGGCUAAGGGGAAGCACCUGCGGGCGGCACGGCGCCCCGGCUUCAAGCGCACCCCUCCCCUCCCCCUCUGCCCCCCAAGGGGCUCAGGGGAGAGGGAGCGGGAGAUGCCGGACGGCCCCAGCUUCCACAAGUGGCCCAGAUGGGCACCUGAGGUCUGCCACCAGGUGGCGGCAGCAGCCCGUGGGAAGACCCACACAUUCCACUUGUCCCCACUCAGGCUUGGGGGAGAGACUGGGGGUCGGGAUUAUUUAAGGGGGCCGGCGAGGCGGCGCAGAGACCCUCCGUGGCCGAAGUCGGGGCCGGUCCAGCCCUGUGGGAUCUGGAGCCUUCUUCCAGCCUCCCCUUCCCAGAUCGGCUCCCUGGAAUGCUCCAACACGCGGGCACAUUCUUCCCCCUCCCGGGCCUCAGUUUCCUCAUCUUUAGAAGUCUGGGUUUGCUCUGGAUGGUCCCCUCCCGGGCCUGCUGUGGUGUGUUCUCUGGGCUACGGGUGCCCUCCCCGGCUCUGCAAACCCCAUUGCCCUCGUUAGGGAGUCUCCCCCUGUCCUCCACCUCCCAUUGCUCCCUAGCAGCUCUCCAGAGUCCCCACCUGCUAUUACUCUCCAAGGGAGAGAACGACCCCUCCAGUGGAAAACAGAACUCAAAAUGGACAGCAGAAAGGAGGGCCCCGGCUCCCAGCCCCUCGGGGCUCCCGGCUGGGUAAAACUGGAGCCCUAAUUGGGCGCCUCCCUGAGUCCGGACCGGCUGCUUACGUGUGAGAGAGGAACGUCCUCCCCAGGCUUUCCCUUCUCCUUGCUCCCCUCUCCCAGGAAUGGAUUCCUGGAAGCUUUCCAGCCCCUUCCUUCGCCUGUGAUUCAGACUGGGUGGGGUCCUUGGGCCUAAGGGCAAGCCCCAGUAUGUGGGGGCAAGACCCGGGCUGGGCGCCCCUCCUACCCUUGCAGCCAAAUCACCAAGCUCCCCUUCGCUAGGGCCCAGCGCCAACGUGAUGUAUAUUUUAUGAUAACUCUAGAGUCUGGAUCCAAACCUGAAGAAGGGCCUCUGACAGCCUUAAGCAUCUCUUUGAUUAAUACCUGACCUUUUAAUGCUUCCUAUUCAAUUAAUAAAUCUUUGAACCUGAAA